CAACCUCAACUCAUAUGGGACUACCCCCUGAAUUUAAGCAUAUUAAUUAGGGGAGGAAAAGAAACUAACAAGGAUUUUCUUAGUAGCGGCGAGCGAAAAGAAAUCAGUUCAGCACUAAGUCACUUUGUCUAUAUGGCAAAUGUGAGAUGCAGUGUACGGAACAUCAACAUUCUAGUAUGAGAAGUUAACGAUUUAAGUCCUUCUUAAAUGAGGCCAUUUACCCAUAGAGGGUGCCAGGCCCGUAUAACGUUAAUGAUUACUAGAUGGUGUUUCCAAAGAGUCGUGUUGCUUGAUAGUGCAGCACUAAGUGGGUGGUAAACUCCAUCUAAAACUAAAUAUAACCAUGAGACCGAUAGUAAACAAGUACCGUGAGGGAAAGUUGAAAAGAACUCUGAAUAGAGAGUUAAAUAGUACGUGAAACUGCUUAGAGGUUAAGCCCGAUGAACCUGAAUAUCCGUUAUGGAAAAUUCAUCAUUAGAAUUGUAAUAUUUUAAACAAUAUUAUAAUAAUAGUGUGCAUUUUUUCCAUAUAAGGACAUUGUAAUCUAUUAGCAUAAAUAUUUAUCAUAAAAUUAUGUCUGAUUGCUUAUUUGAAUUAUAUGCUUGGCAUUUUAACAUAAAAUAAAAGAUAUAAAUUUGAUAAAGUGCUGAUAGAUUUAUAUGAUUACAGUGCGUUAAUUUUUCGGAAUUAUAUAAUGGCAUAAUUAUCAUUGAUAUUUGUGUUUAUUAUAUGCAUUUGUAUGAUUAACAAUGCGAAAGAUUCAGGAUACCCUUCGGG
rnacentral:ncRNA from 1 species